ACAUGACGUCUCUCAGAUGGUGCCCCUGUUAAAGGGGGCUAAGAGGGAAGCCGGUGUAAUUCCGGUGCUGUACCCGCAACUGUCAGCCGGGAGCCGAUGGCCAAACAAGUCACUGGGAGACGAGUCUCCUGGGAAGACGGCCAGACGCAUUGAUCGGUGAGCCAGGAGACCUGCCAUCGCGUCGUUCGUCCG
rnacentral:ncRNA from 2 species